rnacentral:rRNA from 1 species
UGAACGCUGGCGGCAGGCCUAACACAUGCAAGUCGAGCGGAAACGAGUUAUCUGAACCUUCGGGGAACGAUAACGGCGUCGAGCGGCGGACGGGUGAGUAAUGCCUAGGAAAUUGCCCUGAUGUGGGGGAUAACCAUUGGAAACGAUGGCUAAUACCGCAUGAUGCCUACGGGCCAAAGAGGGGGACCUUCGGGCCUCUCGCGUCAGGAUAUGCCUAGGUGGGAUUAGCUAGUUGGUGAGGUAAGGGCUCACCAAGGCGACGAUCCCUAGCUGGUCUGAGAGGAUGAUCAGCCACACUGGAACUGAGACACGGUCCAGACUCCUACGGGAGGCAGCAGUGGGGAAUAUUGCACAAUGGGCGCAAGCCUGAUGCAGCCAUGCCGCGUGUGUGAAGAAGGCCUUCGGGUUGUAAAGCACUUUCAGUCGUGAGGAAGGUAGUGUAGUUAAUAGCUGCAUUAUUUGACGUUAGCGACAGAAGAAGCACCGGCUAACUCCGUGCCAGCAGCCGCGGUAAUACGGAGGGUGCGAGCGUUAAUCGGAAUUACUGGGCGUAAAGCGCAUGCAGGUGGUUUGUUAAGUCAGAUGUGAAAGCCCGGGGCUCAACCUCGGAAUAGCAUUUGAAACUGGCAGACUAGAGUACUGUAGAGGGGGGUAGAAUUUCAGGUGUAGCGGUGAAAUGCGUAGAGAUCUGAAGGAAUACCGGUGGCGAAGGCGGCCCCCUGGACAGAUACUGACACUCAGAUGCGAAAGCGUGGGGAGCAAACAGGAUUAGAUACCCUGGUAGUCCACGCCGUAAACGAUGUCUACUUGGAGGUUGUGGCCUUGAGCCGUGGCUUUCGGAGCUAACGCGUUAAGUAGACCGCCUGGGGAGUACGGUCGCAAGAUUAAAACUCAAAUGAAUUGACGGGGGCCCGCACAAGCGGUGGAGCAUGUGGUUUAAUUCGAUGCAACGCGAAGAACCUUACCUACUCUUGACAUCCAGAGAACUUUCCAGAGAUGGAUUGGUGCCUUCGGGAACUCUGAGACAGGUGCUGCAUGGCUGUCGUCAGCUCGUGUUGUGAAAUGUUGGGUUAAGUCCCGCAACGAGCGCAACCCUUAUCCUUGUUUGCCAGCGAGUAAUGUCGGGAACUCCAGGGAGACUGCCGGUGAUAAACCGGAGGAAGGUGGGGACGACGUCAAGUCAUCAUGGCCCUUACGAGUAGGGCUACACACGUGCUACAAUGGCGCAUACAGAGGGCGGCCAACUUGCGAAAGUGAGCGAAUCCCAAAAAGUGCGUCGUAGUCCGGAUUGGAGUCUGCAACUCGACUCCAUGAAGUCGGAAUCGCUAGUAAUCGUGGAUCAGAAUGCCACGGUGAAUACGUUCCCGGGCCUUGUACACACCGCCCGUCACACCAUGGGAGUGGGCUGCAAAAGAAGUAGGUAGUUUAACCUUCGGGGGGACGCUUACCACUUUGUGGUUCAUGACUGGGGUGAAGU